rnacentral:sRNA from 1 species
CCUAUUCUGUACAGGCUGAAAGGUGCCCUGAGUCGAGGUGACUGGUACAAGACAAAGGAGAUCCUGCUGAAGGGGCCCGACUGGAUCCUGGGUGAGAUCAAGACAUCGGGUUUGCGGGGCCGUGGAGGCGCUGGCUUCCCCACUGGCCUCAAGUGGAGCUUCAUGAAUAAGCCCUCAGAUGGCAGGCCCAAGUAUCUGGUGGUGAACGCAGACGAGGGGGAGCCGGGCACCUGCAAGGACCGGGAGAUCAUACGCCAUGAUCCUCACAAGCUGGUGGAAGGCUGCCUGGUGGGGGGCCGGGCAAUGGGCGCCCGUGCUGCCUAUAUCUACAUCCGAGGGGAGUUCUACAAUGAGGCCUCCAAUCUGCAGGUGGCCAUCCGAGAGGCCUAUGAGGCAGGUCUGAUUGGCAAGAAUGCCUGUGGCUCUGGCUAUGAUUUUGACGUGUUUGUGGUGCGCGGGGCUGGGGCCUACAUCUGUGGAGAGGAGACAGCGCUCAUCGAGUCCAUCGAGGGCAAGCAGGGCAAGCCCCGCCUGAAGCCCCCCUUCCCCGCAGACGUGGGUAAGGCCUGGUGUAACCCUGGGUCAGACUGUGUCCUGUGACACCCAGGAUCUGGCUAGGCUCCCUUUGGAUUGUUCUUAGGGAUUUCUGAGUGCCUUCCCGGCUGGGGCCAGAUAGAGAGUAGGCUGGCAGCAACACACAGGCUCCCCCAGAGCCGCCUGCAGUCCCUCCUCCUGCCUCCGUCCCCCCCGCACCAGUGCUGCUCUGUGGCUCCACCUUCACAGUGCCUGUGCUGAGGCUAAGGGCAUGGUGGUGAACAAGGCAAUGAGGCAUCUCUGGAGUUCGGGGUCCAGCAGGGAUAAGAAUGAUAAGGGGAUAUUAGAGCAGGGGCUCUGCCAUGGGAGCCAGACCCUGGGACACACCUCCCUGCCAGGAAACUUGCCCCACCCCCUAGCAGCCACCUGUUCUCUUCCCAUUUCCCUGAAGGAGUGUUUGGCUGCCCCACAACUGUGGCCAACGUGGAGACAGUGGCAGUGUCCCCCACAAUCUGCCGCCGUGGGGGUACCUGGUUUGCUGGCUUUGGCAGAGAACGCAACUCAGGCACCAAACUAUUCAACAUCUCUGGCCAUGUCAACUACCCUUGCACUGUGGAGGAGGAGAUGUCUGUGCCCUUGAAAGAACUGAUUGAGAAGCAUGCUGGGGGUGUCACGGGCGGCUGGGACAAUCUCCUUGCUGUGAUCCCUGGCGGCUCGUCUACCCCACUGAUCCCCAAGUCUGUGUGUGAGACGGUGCUGAUGGACUUCGACGCGCUGGUGCAGGCACAGACAGGCCUGGGCACAGCCGCGGUGAUCGUCAUGGACCGCUCGACCGACAUCGUGAAAGCCAUCGCCCGCCUCAUUGAGUUCUAUAAGCACGAGAGCUGUGGCCAGUGUACCCCAUGUCGUGAGGGUGUGGACUGGAUGAACAAGGUGAUGGCACGUUUCGUGAGGGGGGACGCCCAGCCGGCCGAGAUCGAUUCCCUGUGGGAGAUCAGCAAGCAGAUAGAAGGCCAUACGAUUUGUGCUCUGGGUGACGGGGCCGCCUGGCCUGUGCAGGGUCUGAUCCGCCACUUUCGGCCGGAGCUCGAGGAGCGGAUGCAGCGGUUUGCCCAGCAGCAUCAGGCCCAGCAGGCUGCCUCUUAGCCCACCACUCUGGCCUGCUGUCCUGCGUCUAUCCGUCUGGAAUGCUGGACAAUAAAGCGAGUGCUGCCCA